rfam:Clostridium perfringens str. 13 DNA, complete genome.
GGUCAAGCUACAAAGGGCGCAUGGUGAAUGCCUUGGCAUCAGGAGCCGAUGAAGGACGUGAUAAGCUGCGAUAAGCUUCGGGUAGGCGCACAUAGCCUGAGAUCCGAAGAUCUCCGAAUGAGGAAACUCACAUGGGAAACCCCAUGUAUCAUUAAGUGAAUACAUAGCUUAAUGAAGGUAACCCAGGGAACUGAAACAUCUAAGUACCUGGAGGAAGAGAAAGAAAAAUCGAUUUUCUUAGUAGCGGCGAGCGAAAGGGAAAGAGCCCAAACCGGAAACUUGUUUCCGGGGUUGAGGACAUAACAUAAAGAGAAGUAAUGGCUAAUUGAAGAGAACUGGAAAGUUCCACCGUAGAAGGUAAUAGUCCUGUAAAUGAAAGCUAGUAUAAUCGAGUUAUGAUCCAGAGUACCACGAGACACGUGAAACCUUGUGGGAAGCAGGGAGGACCACCUCCCAAGGCUAAAUACUACCUGAUGACCGAUAGUGAAGCAGUACCGUGAGGGAAAGGUGAAAAGAACCCCGGGAGGGGAGUGAAAUAGAACCUGAAACCGUGUGCCUACAACCGCUCAGAGCCCCUUAUGAGGGUGAUGAGGUGCUUUUUGUAGAACGAGCCAACGAGUUACGGUAUGUAGCAAGGUUAAGUACUUAAGGUACGGAGCCGAAGGGAAACCGAGUCUGAAUAGGGCGACUAGUUGCAUGCCGUAGACCCGAAACCGGGUGACCUAUCCAUGGCCAGGUUGAAGCGAGGGUAAAACCUCGUGGAGGACCGAACCACGUUGCUGUUGAAAAAGCAUGGGAUGAGCUGUGGAUAGCGGAGAAAUUCCAAUCGAACCCGGAGAUAGCUGGUUCUCUCCGAAAUAGCUUUAGGGCUAGCGUCGAGUAUGAGUAGUGGAGGUAGAGCACUGAAUGGGCUAGGGGGCAUAGCGCUUACCGAACCUUAUCAAACUCCGAAUGCCACAUACUUUGAGCUCGGCAGUCAGACUACGAAUGAUAAGAUCCGUGGUCAAAAGGGAAACAGCCCAGAUCGUCAGCUAAGGUCCCAAAGUGUAAGUUAAGUGGGAAAGGAUGUGAGGUUUCUAAGACAACUAGGAUGUUGGCUUAGAAGCAGCCAUUCAUUAAAAGAGUGCGUAAUAGCUCACUAGUCGAGAGACCUUGCGCCGAAAAUGUAACGGGGCUAAACUUACCACCGAAGCUACGGGCUUGAACUUAGUUCAAGCGGUAGGAGAGCGUCGUAACCGGGCUGAAGUCGUACCGUAAGGAGCGGUGGACUGGUUACGAGUGAGAAUGUUGGCAUCAGUAGCGAGAUGUGGGUGAGAAUCCCACAGGCCGAAAACCUAAGGUUUCCUCAGGAAGGUUCGUCCGCUGAGGGUUAGUCGGGACCUAAGCCGAGGCCGAAAGGCGUAGGUGAUGGACAACUGGUUGAUAUUCCAGUACCACUACCAUCGUUAUUAUCGAUGGCGUGACGCAGGAGGAUAGUGUGUGCUAGCUAUUGGAUGCUAGUCUAAGCGUUUAGGCAGUGAGAGUAGGCAAAUCCGCUCUCAUAAUGCUGAGGCGUGAUGGGGAAGGUUCCACGGAACCGAAGUACAUGAUUCCACGCUGCCAAGAAAAGCGUCUAGAGAGAGAAGUAGUGCCCGUACCGCAAACCGACACAGGUAGGUGAGGAGAGAAUCCUAAGGCCGGCGGAAGAAUUACAGUUAAGGAACUCGGCAAAUUGACCCCGUAAGUUCGCGAGAAGGGGUGCCUACGAGAGUAGGCCGCAGAGAAUAGGCCCAAGCAACUGUUUAGCAAAAACACAGGUCUCUGCUAAAGCGUAAGCUGAUGUAUAGGGGCUGACGCCUGCCCGGUGCUGGAAGGUUAAGGGGAACACUUAGCGCAAGCGAAGGUGUGAACUUAAGCCCCAGUAAACGGCGGCCGUAACUAUAACGGUCCUAAGGUAGCGAAAUUCCUUGUCAGGUAAGUUCUGACCCGCACGAAUGGCGUAAUGACUUGGGCACUGUCUCAACUGUAAAUCCGGCGAAGUUGUAGUGCGAGUGAAGAUGCUCGCUACCCGCGAUUGGACGGAAAGACCCCGUAGAGCUUUACUGUAGCUUAGCAUUGAGUUUUGGUAUUGUCUGUACAGGAUAGGUGGGAGACUAGGAAACCAGGGCGUCAGCCUUGGUGGAGUCAACCUUGGGAUACCACCCUGACAGUACUGAAAUUCUAACUGGCGGCCAUGAAUCUGGUCACAGGACAUUGUUAGGUGGGCAGUUUGACUGGGGCGGUCGCCUCCUAAAAAGUAACGGAGGCGCCCAAAGGUUCCCUCAGAACGGUCGGAAAUCGUUCGAAGAGUGCAAAGGCAGAAGGGAGCCUGACUGCGACACCCACAAGUGGAGCAGGGACGAAAGUCGGGCUUAGUGAUCCGGUGGUACCUCGUGGGAGGGCCAUCGCUCAACGGAUAAAAGCUACCUCGGGGAUAACAGGCUGAUCUCCCCCAAGAGUCCACAUCGACGGGGAGGUUUGGCACCUCGAUGUCGGCUCGUCGCAUCCUGGGGCUGAAGUAGGUCCCAAGGGUUGGGCUGUUCGCCCAUUAAAGCGGCACGCGAGCUGGGUUCAGAACGUCGUGAGACAGUUCGGUCCCUAUCCGUCGCGGGCGUAGGAAAUUUGAGAGGAGCUGUCCUUAGUACGAGAGGACCGGGAUGGACUGACCUCUGGUGUACCAGUUGUUCCGCCAGGAGCACAGCUGGGUAGCUAAGUCGGGAAUGGAUAAACGCUGAAAGCAUCUAAGCGUGAAGCCAACCUCAAGAUGAGAUUUCCCAUAGCGUAAGCUAGUAAGAUCCCUUGAAGAACACAAGGUUGAUAGGUCGGGGGUGUAAGCAUGGUAACAUGUUCAGCUGACCGAUACUAAUAGAUCGAGGGCUUGACCAA